rnacentral:rRNA from 1 species
UACGUAGGGUGCAAGCGUUAUCCGGAAUUAUUGGGCGUAAAGAGCUCGUAGGCGGUUUGUCGCGUCUGCUGUGAAAACCGGAGGCUCAACCUCCGGCCUGCAGUGGGUACGGGCAAACUAGAGUGCGGUAGGGGAGAUUGGAAUUCCUGGUGUAGCGGUGGAAUGCGCAGAUAUCAGGAGGAACACCGAUGGCGAAGGCGAGUCUCUGGACAUUUCCUGACGCUGAGGCACGAAAGCCAGGGGAGCAAACGGG